GAGUGGUGCAGCGCACAGCUCCUCACCCUGCAACAAACACAAAAUGGAGUGAAGCCAGAAUCACUUUAUCCUGUUUUUCAAAUAUUCUGUGGCAUGUUUACAAAUACACCCAGGCUUCCUGUGUGCCAGGCACGGCACUAAACACUGGAGCCUGGCAUUCUUGAUCUCACAACUGAGGCAAGUUUUAUUUUACAAAUGAGGACACGGCAGGAGGGAGAGACUGCCCGGCUCCGCGGCUGGCUGGAGUUGCUGCUUGAACCCACUCACCCUCGCAUCAGUUUGGAGCCGGUUCCCAGCGUCCCUCACCAGAGCACGGAGGCGAGCAGGAUCUCAUGCGAUCCCUGCCCCGCCGCCAGAGCUUCAGGGGAAGCAGGAUUUAUUGAGCCUCUCCCAGGGCCUCUCCAGCUGAGGGCCUCCCUCCCUCGUGGCACAGAAGACAAAGGGAGGCCCCUGGCUGCCCUGACGAGACACGUGGAGGAAGGAAGCUGGACCAAUGUGUCCCCACGUGAGCAGGGGCCACGGCUGGGCCCGCUCCUCUGACCAAGGAAGUGUGGGGUCUCCACAGUGCGAGCCGAAAACCCCUGCCUGGUUCCACAUCUUCCUCAGGAAGAAGCCGAGGCUCCCUUGCCAUGCUCUCCAGGGACAAUGCCCUUCUCGUCACCGGGCUGUCAUCAGAAUGAAAUGCUGCCGACACAAUACUGGUGGAAAUGAAAUCCCCUCCGUAAAGGGAUGGCAGCUGCUCUGGCUCUGACCGUCCCAGGGAGAGAAUGGGCCCCGCUGAACUUCAGGGAAGGAUCCUGGACACAGAGCCUUCUUGUCGCAGCCUCUCAUAGAGAUGACCUCAUCCCUGCACCCUGAAGCAGAACGGCGGCUUCGGCUGGGGCUGAUUCACUGGGCUUUGCUGCAGGAGCUGAGCAGCAGCUAACGAGCUCUCUCCUCCCCGGAUCAGGAGAAACCUGGAAUCCUAGAUCCCCACACCCCUGGCAGGUGCAGUUUCAGGGAUGGCCCGGGUCAGCACCAGCCAAUGCAGACAGCCUGUGGGCUGCCAGGAUGGACCUGCCAAUACAGCUGGGGGUGUGGGGUAGGAAACCUACGGCCCAAAGUGUGAAGUCACAGCUCUUCGCAGGGUUGUGGGACAACAGGGUUCUGAUUUCCAUUUUGUGGGGCCAGUGUGUUAUGUGAUUCUUCUUGCUUGUUUCCUUCAAACCCCAGCACACACAGCGCCAACCUCCCUGAGCAGCUGCUCCUGCCUGUCCACAGUGCUUUUUACAAGUGGCUUGGUUUCAAGUGCUUGAGCGUGUGGACCGGUGAACAUAUGUCCCAGAACCUUGGCUGUGAGCAGUGACCAGAUCAACCCUCUUCUCCCUACUUCAUCAAAGGAAACUGAGGUACAGCUCUGCAUGCCAUGCUCUGAGGCUCUAGGUCUGACCCUCGCCCCCUCCCGCAGGUAGAGACAGCAGUAAGCAGUCCCACUCUGCAAAGGGGAACGGAGCCCAGAGGGUUACAGUGACUUCCCGGAAGCCACUCAUCAAAUUACAGCAUGAACCUUCCCUGCCCUUUUCCCGCUGUCUCUGCUCAGGACGGGCCCUGUGUGGGGAAUGCCUCACUCAAGGGCCAGCUCCCCAACAAAUGAUCACCUCUUCACCAGAAGGAGCCCUCUCCACUCACACCCUACAAACGCGACCCUCGGCAGCUCCCCCUGCCACUCCCAGGGGCCUGCACCAAGGCAUCCAUCUAUUUUGAGCUGGUGCAAAGGAAGCAGAGCCAGAGCUCAGGGAGCAAGACAGGGACAGGAACUAUGCACAGGGGACUGUGCAGUGUCACAGCCCUGGGGCAGGAAUCGACAGGUACCACAAAGAACAAGGGGGGGAGGGGGUGGCGGAUUCUACCAAUGGGUCAGGAGGAAGUCACGGAAGGGCCCUAGAGCUGAGAGCUAAGCCCCCCACCUACACCCUCAACAACAGGAGGAGGGUGAUUCCAGGCAGAGUGUGGAGGGGCCCUCAGGGAACCUCUCCAAUAAGUCUUAUGGCUGGAGCUCAGGGGGUCAGCUUGGGCAGGUCACCAAGGGUCUUGGACUAUAUACCUGGCAGACAUCAAAAGGUUCUUAAAGGUGUAAGCAUGGGCCAGGUGCAGUGGCACAUGCCUGUAAUCCUUGCACUUUGGAAGGCCAAGGCAGGUGGAUUACCAGAUAUCAGGAGUUCAAGACCAGCCUGGCCAACAUGGCAAAACCCUGUCUCUACUAAAAAUGCAAACAUUUAGCCAGGCAUGUUGGCAGGCACCUGUAAUCUCAGUUAUUCAGGAGGCUGAGGCAGGAGAAUUGCUCUUGAACCGGGGUGGGGGUGAGGGAGGGGCAGUGCAGUGAGCUGAGAUUGCACCACUUCACUCCAGCCUGGGCUAAAUAUUAGAGUGAGACUCCACGUCAAAAGAAAGUAAGAGGUGUGAGCAGCAGGGUAUGACAGUCAGGAAUGGCCAGAGUGGGGACAUAUGGGGCAAUGCAGGUGCAGAGGGGAGACAGCCCAGGCACAGUCUGGCAGAGGGGCAAGGGAGGGCUGACUCCUGACGUAUGCACAGGGCGGGCAGCAAGUCAAGCUGAGCUAGAGGUGCCCGAGACACAUACAGGUAUGAGCAGAUGUCCCAGGGAAGUAGGUGAUGGGGUUCAGGCCACGCUACCCCAAAAUACGACACGCUGGCAUUUGAGAAACCAGCAGAAGCAGAAAGGUCCUCUCACCCUCUCCCUGCCCUUCUCCCUGAAGCAGGUCAUAAGACCCUCAUGUGAGAGGCACCCUCUCUAUGUCCAGGGGAAAAGAACAUCCUCAUCUCUGAAGACGCAGGGAUUUGUUGAGGGAAGAAUCUCAACAAAGAGACCUCGCUAAGCUUCACCAGGUCACACUUCUUUAUCCGAACUGCUCCACAACUACCUGCUUCUUUAUCAAACCUAGCAUAGAAAAUAAACAGUUGAGGCCAGGCGCGGUGCCUCACGCCUCUCAUCCCAGCACUUUGGGAGACUGAGGCGGGUGGAUUACCUGAGGUCAGGAGUUCAACACAAGUCUGAUCAACAUGUUGAAACCCCAUCUCUACUCAAAAUACAUAAAAAUGAGCUGGAGGCGGUGGUGGGCACCUAUAAUCCCAACUACUCGGGAAGCUGAGGCAGGUGAAUCACUUGAACCCUGGAGGUGGAGGCUGCAGUGAGCCAAGACUGCACCACUGCACUCCAGCCUGGAUGAUAGAGACUAUGUCUCAAAAAAAAGAAAAUACACAUGUUCAGCCCUUUUCUUUGGAUCAUUUCCUAAUGAAAGCUCCUGUAUCAAGUAAAACUCAUAUGAAAUUACCAUUU